UACAGAGGGGGCAAGCGUUGUUCGGAAUUACUGGGCGUAAAGGGCGCGUAGGCGGCCAACUAAGUCAGACGUGAAAUCCCACGGCUCAACCGUGGAACUGCGUCUGAUACUGGAUGGCUUGAAUCCGGGAGAGGGAUGUGGAAUUCCAGGUGUAGCGGUGAAAUGCGUAGAUAUCUGGAGGAACACCGGUGGCGAAGGCGGCAUCCUGGACCGGUAUUGACGCUGAGGCGCGAAAGCCAGGGGAGCGAACGGG
rnacentral:rRNA from 1 species